GACGAACGCUGGCGGCGUGCUUAACACAUGCAAGUCGAACGGAAAGGCCCUGCUUUUGUGGGGUGCUCGAGUGGCGAACGGGUGAGUAACACGUGAGUAACCUGCCCUUGACUUUGGGAUAACUUCAGGAAACUGGGGCUAAUACCGGAUCGGAGCUCCUGCUGCAUGGUGGGGGUUGGAAAGUUUCGGCGGGUGGGGAUGGACUCGCGGCUUAUCAGCUUGUUGGUGGGGUAGUGGCUUACCAAGGCUUUGACGGGUAGCCGGCCUGAGAGGGUGACCGGCCACAUUGGGACUGAGAUACGGCCCAGACUCCUACGGGAGGCAGCAGUGGGGAGCAUUGCACAAUGGGCGGAAGCCUGAUGCAGCAACGCCGCGUGCGGGAUGACGGCCUUCGGGUUGUAAACCGCUUUCGCCUGUGACGAAGCGUGAGUGACGGUAAUGGGUAAAGAAGCACCGGCUAACUACGUG
rnacentral:rRNA from 1 species